UUUAGACGUAAAACUGCGUUUAGACGUAAACUACGUUUAAACGUAAAACUGCGUUUUAGACGUAAACUGAGUUUGGACGUAAAUCUGCGUUUAGACGUAAAUCUGCGUUUAGACGUAAAACUGCGUUUAGACGUAAAAUUGCGUUUAGACGCAAACUGCAUUUAAACGUAAAUUGUGUUUAGACGUAAACUACGUUUAGAUGUAA
rnacentral:lncRNA from 1 species